AACAUCGCGCACCUGCGGGAACCUGCGGAAGGAUCAUUAAAAAAGGGUCUUUUGACCCAUUUUUUUUUAAAAAUUCACUACCAGUUUUACUGGAAGUGGGUUUUUUUCAAAUACCAAAUUUUAAACUAUUCGUCUUUUGACGAAACCCAAAAUUAAUAAAUAAAACUUUCAACAACGGAUCU
rnacentral:misc_RNA from 1 species